rnacentral:tRNA from 1 species
GUCAAUAUGUCCGAGUGGUUAAGGAGAUAGACUCGAAAUCUAUUGUGCUUUGCCUGCGCAGGUUCGAAUCCUGCUGUUGACG